AUUAGGGAUUUAAGAUGGAAUAACAUGGAUGUGACACAGAAAGCACGACAGGACUCCCCAAAUAUUGAGUCCUUGGAAAUAAUGUAAUUAUUAUCCACCCUUCAAGGGAACAGAGACUAUGAGUGGACAGGGGAUCCAGGGGAGCAAUGACAGAGUUUCAAAUGAAUUUAUGAGCUCUGACAGACCAACACAGAAUCUUAAUUCUUCAGAGGUCUCUGGUGUCGUUUUGAAUAAUUAUCAUGGUGGGAAAAUUCUCUCAAAUCUAACCAUACUUCAACCCAUGGAUCUUCCGCAUUCGAUUCCUCUUCAAAUUCCUUUUCAAUCCAAUUCUUCUAAUCUUCAACUGCCUCAGGACUGUAGAGUUCAGCCUCAAGUAUUCUCUAGUCAUCCGACACAGCCUCAACCUCAACCUGAGGUUGAUGAAAGCGAGGAUGAGGAUAUUCAUGUUUGUGGAUCCUGUAAAACCGAGUUUAAGAUCUACAGUGAAUUUCGUGCACACAAAACCACAUGCAACAAACGGAAAAAAGUAAGCAAUGCUGCGCAACAUUCUCAAUCUCCAAAUCUAAAUAGCUCGGCUGCAGUUGAUCAGGAAAUAAGGAUUCCAUCAGCGCCCCUGUAUCUGCAGAAUCAGGAGGAGGUAAAUCAACAGUCUGUGGAUGUUUAUGAGACUGUGGAGCAGGAUGAUAUUCCAGUGUACGCAGAAAAUGCGUACAGCGAGGGAUGUAUAGUAACGCAUGAGCAACUGGUUUCAGUACAGCCAGCUGUGCUUCAGCAGCCUAGUAUUAGUAUUCUGAGUCAAGUGCCGUCUCCUGCCUCUGCUACUGAACCUCAAUCUGACCUACCUUCCCCUCAAUCUAAGGUAGCACUGUUCCAUGUUUGUAGUUUUGUUGGUUGUUUGUUUAGUUCUAGAUAUAGGAAAGAUCUUGAUAGACAUCUUCGUACACACACAGGUGAGAAACCCCAUUCCUGUGAUCAAUGUGGAAAAUCUUUUGCCAGACAAGAUAAAUUAAAAAGACACAUGAAUAUUCAUACAGGUUUAAAGAAAUAUUCUUGUCCUCUCUGUUUUUACAAAACCUACGAGAAGUCUCAUUUCACCAAACAUACAAGAGUUCAUACUGAUGAGAGACCAUAUGAUUGCCAGAUGUGUCCUUACCGUUGUAAAAGCAGUUCUCAGCUGACAGUCCAUUUAAGAACUCACACAGGUGACUCACCUUUCAUCUGCUCCCACUUCUCCUGCUCUGCAUCCUUCAAAUCUAACUCUGAUCUGAAAAGACAUGAAAAGACCCACACCGGUGUCAAGCCAUACAAAUGUGAUUACUGUGAUCAUAGGGUUGCAAUCAAAUCUAACCUUAAAGCUCAUGUGAGAGCAAACCACAGGAUGAACGAGGUGUUCAGCUGUAAUGCAGAAUCAUGUAACUUUGUAACUUGUGAUAAGGUUGAAUUGCGUGAGCACCAGCGGAAGCACGCUGAUCUAUUCCACUGUAACAUCUGCAGCUUUACAUCACAACAACGAUCCUGCUUUACCAGACAUCUGGCUAAACAUAGGAAUUUGUCAGAGUUCAAGUGCGAGUACUGUUCUUACACCUGUAAAUCAAGCAAUGUGCUUUCUAAUCAUAAGAACAGGAGGCAUGCGCACAAUACGCCGGGGUCGUCUUUCUCUAAGUCAGAAAGAAAACAGAAUAGCGACAAGAUGGAGGAUAAAAGUCCAAAGAAGAAAGUUUUAAUGAAAACAAUCUGCAAACCAAACUUUAAAUGUGCAAUAUGUAAUGGAGAAUUUGUAAGGAGGGAUUCAUUACGAAGUCAUCUCAAUCAACACAAGAGUUUAGGAACACCAGUUCCUCAUAUUGGAUGCAUCAAGGAGACCUAUGUGAGUGGAACAUCUUCAAGAGAACCUGCUGUCAAGGUUCUAAAAUUAGUGUCGGCUGAAGGUAUUAUUUUCAAUCCCCAGGACAAUAAAACCGACUCGAACAUAUUCUUCUAAAUAUGUAAUCUUUCACUCACUUCAUCUCAUCAUUUACACUUCUAACUAAGAUCUGCUAAGAUCUGGUAUACAGAUUUCUAGCUAAGAUGCUGUACUUAAAUUUCAAACUCAAGAUAUUCCGAAAGGAUUUAACAUUUAAUU
rnacentral:misc_RNA from 1 species